UAACGCUUUAAGCACCCCACCUGGGGAGUACGUUCGCAAGAAUGAAACUCAAAGGAAUUGACGGGGGCCCGCACAAGCGGUGGAGCAUGUGGUUUAAUUCGACGCAACGCGAAGAACCUUACCUGGGUUUGAACUUCAGUUGACAGCCCGUGAAAGCGGGUCUCCCUUCGGGGCAGCUGGAGAGGUGCUGCAUGGCUGUCGUCAGCUCGUGUCGUGAGAUGUUGGGUUAAGUCCCGUAACGAGCGCAACCCCUACCCUUAGUUGCCAGCGGGUCAAGCCGGGAACUCUAAGGGAACCGCCGGUGACAAACCGGAGGAAGGUGGGGAUGACGUCAAGUCCUCAUGGCCUCUAUGCCCAGGGCCACACACGUGCUACAAUGGACGGUACAAAGGGUUGCCAAGCCGCAAGGUGGAGCUAAUCCCAAAAAGCCGUUCUCAGUUCGGAUUGGGGGCUGCAACUCGCCCCUAUGAAGGUGGAAUCGCUAGUAAUCCCGGAUCAGCACGCCGGGGUGAAUACGUUCCCGGGCCUUGUACACACCGCCCGUCACACCACGAAAGUUGAUUGUACUAGAAACCGCCGAGCUAACCCGUCAAGGGAGGCAGGCGUCUAAGGUAUGAUCAGCGAUUGGGGUGAAGUCGUAACAAGGUAACCAAGGG
rnacentral:rRNA from 1 species